GAAUCGGAACCAGUCGAAGGAAGGACAUGCAGAUAGGAGAAAGACCUUGGAUGAGUACAACUACAAGUGAACUGAGGAUCUUGGAAAUGUCACUCGACAGGUGCCACGUCCCACCCAACCUCGUAGAAUCCUAUUAGACAUGCAAUAAUGUAGAUGCUAGUGCUUUACUUUUAUGCAAAUGAAUUGAGAUAGGUUGCAUGGUAGAAAUGCUUGUGAGCCAUUGCCUUGUUGCAACCUAUAACCCUCGCACACCCGCU
rnacentral:lncRNA from 1 species